rnacentral:rRNA from 1 species
GUGCUAAUACCGGAUAAUGUCUUCGGACCAAAGAUUUAUUGCCUAUGGAUGGGCCCGCGUAGGAUUAGCUAGUUGGUGGGGUAAAGGCCUACCAAGGCGACGAUCCUUAGCUGGUCUUAGAGGAUGAUCAGCCACACUGGGACUGAGACACGGCCCAGACUCCUACGGGAGGCAGCAGUGGGGAAUAUUGGACAAUGGGCGAAAGCCUGAUCCAGCAAUGCCGCGUGAGUGAUGAAGGCCCUAGGGUUGUAAAGCUCUUUUACCCGGGAUGAUAAUGACAGUACCGGGAGAAUAAGCCCCGGCUAACUCCGUGCCAGCAGCCGCGGUAAU